AGGAAAAACCCAACUUGAUCUUGCAUACCUUACAGUACGUCCGGCUCAGAUUUAGUCACAAUGUGACCAAAGUAAAGAGCAAGAUGUAAGUUUUAAAUCCAAUUGUAUCCUGGCACAUUCCUCAUCUGCUUCUGGCCAUGUUGUGUUUUACCAUAUAAUGACUUGAUGCGUCGUAUAGAGAGAUCGUGAACUCCAAUAUUGGGCGUGAUUCAUCGUAAAAGAUCGACUACAGAACAAAGAGUCGAUUUGACACACCCUACAACUGCACAUGGAUAUUUACCUUAAUUAAGGAGGUGACCCAGUGAUCAUCUAUCUAACACUAGAGAGGUUGUAUCACUACGGAGCAGAACUAUGGAAAGCUACGUGACCCGGUGAGCAUCUGUCUCUAGAGAGGUUAUAUCACUACGGAGCAGAACUAUGGAGGCGACGUGA